GAUGGCAAUACAGAUUAGAUGCUUAAAUGCCCUGUGCUAAAAUCAGGCAACAUCAGAUAAGAGAACACUGGAGAUGUAGUUUGUGGUGGAAGAUUUAGAGAAAGAAGAUCAUGGAUAUUCAGGUCCAUCAGAGAAUUGAGGACACAGAACAUACCACCACCUGGAAAACUAGAGAGGGAGGACAAUAUAAGAAUCACAACUUACCAGGAGCUG
rnacentral:lncRNA from 1 species